CUGAACUGGGGCCACUUGAGGGGGUCUUGUAGAAGAGGAAAACUUGUGGCGCAAUGGGAUGUCCAGGGACACAGAUAGCCAGGUGACACACAGUGACCUUCCUCAGGAGAGUGGAAGCUCUGCAGGUGGGGAUAAUAGGACCUACCUAGCUGGGCUGUUAUGAAGGCUAAACGAGGAAACACUUGUAAAGUUCUCAGAACUGUGCCUCGAACAAGUGGGAGAUGUCAGUCACCAUCACCCCCAUUCACCAGGACAGAGGGGCUACAGAAAAAGCUGAACUGUGCUGAGCCAUCUGCUGCCUCUUCCCAGUGACAGCAUCUGAAUCUGAAAGAAAAAAAGAAUGUCACAUCCAUUUGUCAUGGUAAUUUGUCUAGUCAGGCCAUGGUAUUUGAAGUCAGCAUAAUGGGGUUCAGCAAUUAAUUAUGGUUUGAUUGUCCCAUGCACUGCCAUUCUUUCCCCCAAAUGAGGCUGACAGAUGAAUGCUGCAAAGUGGCAGCAGACUGUGGCAGGUUAGGAAACUCUGCUGGACUCCCCAGACGUCUCUUCCUGUCUACCAGCAUCAGCGCUGGUGAGAACAGCACACCCGCAUAGCACAAUUUGAACAGACCUGCCCAAUCAAGGGUCUCCACAUAGGCCUCAGAUUAGAGUUUCAGGUCUGAAACAGCCUUGAUGCUCAUUUAAUCCGGAGCUCUCACUUCUCUGCACUGAAGCCAACAGACAUGAGGCUUCAUAAUUCAUGCUGCAAAGCUGGCCAGUAGCAGAGUGAGCACCAGACACCCCUCUUGGCCCUCAUUCCCACCCCUCACAAUGCUGCCCUGGCUUGGGUGGGCAUGGGCUACAGCAGGUCUCUUGUCUGUCUCCUUCAGGCUCUUGGGACCCUGACUUUAUGCAGGGGUGCUGGGAGCUAAGUAAAACACCUCAAGCCAGUAAG
rnacentral:lncRNA from 1 species